CCCGCCGGAUCCUUCAUGUAAACAACAUCCAGGCUCUAUUUACAGUCGCCGCCGGACGGCAAGGGACCCACGCCAGCUGCCUGGAAGCAGGCGGGGGUGGGGGAAAAGCGAGUGCGCAACAUUUACACACACCCGCCCCGCCCCUCCGCGCCACUGCCCCGCCAGGGGGCCGGAGCGGGACACCGGGGGUCUCCCCGCGCCCUCGUUCAACCUGCGCCGGUCUUGACACCCCAGCGAGAGCCAGAGUCACUUUAGUUGUGUCCAACUCUUUGUGAACCCAUGGAUUGUGGCCUACCAGGCUCCUCUGUCCAUGGGAUUUUCCCAGCAAGAAUACUGGAGUGUACUGCUAUGCCCACCUCCAGGGGAUCUUCCUGACCCAGGGAUGGAACCCAUGUCUCCUGCAUCUCCUGCAUUGCAGGUGGGUUCUUUGCUGCUGAGCCACCAGGGAAGCCAAAAAUUGAUUAACCCACCAUAUUAAUUCCAUAACCCACUAAUAGGUUGUGACUUGCAUUUUGCUAAGCACUGAUCUGCACAAGUCACUGAGGUUUCAUGUAUUAUCCAACUGACCAGGACAGCUGUCAAAUGUCUACCUCAUUUGGUGCAGUCUCCAAUAGGAAAACCUUGCCCACAAAAGGAGUUGAGGUGACCUCACUGAGUCUUCUCAGCAUCUUCACCAGGAGUAGAUUCCAUCCCAAGAAAUCACUGUCAAGCUUCCCUGGUGGCUCAGUGGUGAAAAAAAAAAAAAAAAAAAUCCACUUGCCAAUGCACGAGACACGGAUUUGAUCGCUGAUUCCAGGAAGAUGCCACAUGCCUUGGAGCAGCUAAGCCCGUGUAUACUACAGCUGUUGAGCCUGUGCUCUAGAGCCUGGGAGCUGCAACUAGUGAGCCCACGUGUCACAACUACUGAAACCUUCACGUCCUGGAGCCCAGGCUGUGCAACAAGAGCAGCCGCUGCAAUGAGGAACCCGAGCACCACAGCUAGAGAAAGCCCUUGGGCAGCAAUGAAGACCCAGCACAGCCAAGAAUCAAAUACAUAAUGAAAUAAAAUUGUUUUAGAAAGAAAUCACUUUCUUCCCUCAUUCAUAAGAAGCAACUCUUCACCCACUA
ensembl:lncRNA